GAUGAACGCUGGCGGCGUGCCUAAUACAUGCAAGUCGAGCGAACGGACGAGAAGCUUGCUUCUCUGAUGUUAGCGGCGGACGGGUGAGUAACACGUGGAUAACCUACCUAUAAGACUGGGAUAACUUCGGGAAACCGGAGCUAAUACCGGAUAAUAUUUUGAACCGCAUGGUUCAAAAGUGAAAGACGGUCUUGCUGUCACUUAUAGAUGGAUCCGCGCUGCAUUAGCUAGUUGGUAAGGUAACGGCUUACCAAGGCAACGAUGCAUAGCCGACCUGAGAGGGUGAUCGGCCACACUGGAACUGAGACACGGUCCAGACUCCUACGGGAGGCAGCAGUAGGGAAUCUUCCGCAAUGGGCGAAAGCCUGACGGAGCAACGCCGCGUGAGUGAUGAAGGUCUUCGGAUCGUAAAACUCUGUUAUUAGGGAAGAACAUAUGUGUAAGUAACUGUGCACAUCUUGACGGUACCUAAUCAGAAAGCCACGGCUAACUACGUGCCAGCAGCCGCGGUAAUACGUAGGUGGCAAGCGUUAUCCGGAAUUUAUGGGCGUAAAGCGCGCGUAGCGGUUUUUUAGUCUGAUGUGAAAGCCCACGGCUCAACCGUGGAGGGUCAUUGGAAACUGGAAAACUUGAGUGCAGAAGAGGAAAGUGGAAUUCCAUGUGUAGCGGUGAAAUGCGCAGAGAUAUGGAGGAACACCAGUGGCGAAGGCGACUUUCUGGUCUGUAACUGACGCUGAUGUGCGAAAGCGUGGGGAUCAAACAGGAUUAGAUACCCUGGUAGUCCACGCCGUAAACGAUGAGUGCUAAGUGUUAGGGGGUUUCCGCCCCUUAGUGCUGCAGCUAACGCAUUAAGCACUCCGCCUGGGGAGUACGACCGCAAGGUUGAAACUCAAAGGAAUUGACGGGGACCCGCACAAGCGGUGGAGCAUGUGGUUUAAUUCGAAGCAACGCGAAGAACCUUACCAAAUCUUGACAUCCUUUGACAACUCUAGAGAUAGAGCUUUCCCCUUCGGGGGACAAAGUGACAGGUGGUGCAUGGUUGUCGUCAGCUCGUGUCGUGAGAUGUUGGGUUAAGUCCCGCAACGAGCGCAACCCUUAAGCUUAGUUGCCAUCAUUAAGUUGGGCACUCUAAGUUGACUGCCGGUGACAAACCGGAGGAAGGUGGGGAUGACGUCAAAUCAUCAUGCCCCUUAUGAUUUGGGCUACACACGUGCUACAAUGGACAAUACAAAGGGCAGCGAAACCGUGAGGUCAAGCAAAUCCCAUAAAGUUGUUCUCAGUUCGGAUUGUAGUCUGCAACUCGACUACAUGAAGCUGGAAUCGCUAGUAAUCGUAGAUCAGCAUGCUACGGUGAAUACGUUCCCGGGUCU
rnacentral:rRNA from 1 species